rnacentral:rRNA from 1 species
AUUGAACGCUGGCGGCGUGCUUUACACAUGCAAGUCGAACGGAAAGAGGCCGCGCUUUCCUGACGAGUGUUGGCCGGGUGCGUAAUGCAAACGCACGGGCCCCCUCGUGAGAGAUAACUACUCGAUUGAGUAACUCAUACCGCAUACCGUCUAUGGUUGUAAGCGGCAGAGCGUAAUACUUAACGCCGUUGUUGCUGCCACUUAUAGAUUGAUCCGCGCCAGAUUAGCUAGUUGGUCAGGUAACGGCUUACCAAGGCAACGGUGCGUAGCCGACCUGAGAGGGUGACCAGCCACACUGGAACUGAGACACGGUCCAGACUCCUACGGGAGGCAGCAGUAGGGAAUUUUCGGCAAUGGGCGAAAGCCUGACGCAGCAACGCCGCGUGAAUGAAGAAGGUCUUCGGAUUGUAAAACUCUUUUGUUAGGGAAGAAAAAGUGUGUGAGUAAAUACGGGCGUAUUGACGGUACCGAAACAGAAAGCCACGGCUAACUACGUG